rnacentral:lncRNA from 1 species
UGAGCUGAUAUAGUAUAGGAUUUUGGAAAGGGAUUAAAAGACACAAAUGUAAUCUGUAAAGAAUGUAUUAAAUGAUAAUUCAUUAAGUUCUCAGUUCUAACAGGUUGAUCAAAAUGAUUGGUGUAAUGCUAUUUGAUAUAAAUCAAGAAAUCAAGCACAGACUAGGCUCUUCUUUAUAUUUUUUCUCUGUUCAUGUUUUAAUGCUUAUCAAUGGUUUGUAUUCUUUGUGUUUCUGUUCAAUCUUCUUAGGCUCUUCUUAGCUUUUAGUAUUUCUAUUUCCCCAGUUUGUAUGCAUUUUCUGUUUCUUUGUAUUCAGUGUGUAUAAGAUCUGGGAGUUUUGUACUGGAGCUUGGUUUUUGAGCUUCAAAGUUCUUUUUGUGUUAUGGAGAGCUUUUGUUUAUAUUGUGUUCUUUUGUGGACUGUUUAUAGCUGUAAAUAUUCUAGAUAA